rnacentral:rRNA from 1 species
UUCAACUCAGUGGCGGACGGGUGAGUAACGCGUGAGUAACCUGCCUUUCAGAGGGGGAUAACGUUCUGAAAAGAACGCUAAUACCGCAUAAGAUUGUAGCUUCGCAUGGAGCAGCAAUCAAAGGAGCAAUCCGCUGAAAGAUGGACUCGCGUCCGAUUAGAUAGUUGGCGGGGUAACGGCCCACCAAGUCGACGAUCGGUAGCCGGACUGAGAGGUUGAUCGGCCACAUUGGGACUGAGACACGGCCCAGACUCCUACGGGAGGCAGCAGUGAGGGAUAUUGGGCAAUGGGGGAAACCCUGACCCAGCAACGCCGCGUGAGGGAUGACGGUUUUCGGAUUGUAAACCUCUGUCCUCUGUGAAGAUAGUGACGGUAGCAGAGGAGGAAGCUCCGGCUAACUACGUGCCAGCAGCCGCGGUAAUACGUAGGGAGCAAGCGUUGUCCGGAUUUACUGGGUGUAAAGGGUGCGUAGGCGGAUUGGCAAGUCAGAAGUGAAAUCCAUGGGCUUAACCCAUGAACUGCUUUUGAAACUGUUAGUCUUGAGUGAAGUAGAGGUAGGCGGAAUUCCCGGUGUAGCGGUGAAAUG